rnacentral:rRNA from 1 species
UGGGGAAUAUUGCACAAUGGGCGAAAGCCUGAUGCAGCGACGCCGCGUGAGGGAUGACGGCCUUCGGGUUGUAAACCUCUUUCAGUAGGGACGAAGCGCAAGUGACGGUACCUGCAGAAGAAGCACCGGCUAACUACGUGCCAGCAGCCGCGGUAAUACGUAGGGUGCGAGCGUUGUCCGGAAUUACUGGGCGUAAAGAGCUCGUAGGCGGUUUGUCACGUCGUCUGUGAAAUCCUAGGGCUUAACCCUGGACGUGCAGGCGAUACGGGCUGACUUGAGUACUACAGGGGAGACUGGAAUUUCUGGUGUAGCGGUGGAAUGCUCAGAUAUCAGGAAGAACACCGAUGGCGAAGGCAGGUCUCUGGGUAGUAACUGACGCUGAGGAGCGAAAGCAUGGGUAGCGAACAGG